rnacentral:rRNA from 1 species
GAUGAACGCUGACAGAAUGCUUAACACAUGCAAGUCUACUUGAACUUCGGUUUGGGUGGCGGACGGGUGAGUAACGCGUAAAGAACUUGCCUCACAGAUAGGGACAACAUUUGGAAACGAAUGCUAAUACCUGAUAUUAUGAUUUUAGGGCAUCCUAGAAUUAUGAAAGCUAUAUGCACUGUGAGAGAGCUUUGCGUCCCAUUAGCUAGUUGGAGGGGUAACGGCUCACCAGGGCGAUGAUGGGUAGCCGGCCUGAGAGGGUGAUCGGCCACAAGGGGACUGGAAACCGGCCAGAACUCUUACGGGAGGAAGCAGUGGGGAAUAUUGGACAAUGGACCAAGAGUCUGAUACAGCAAUUGUGUGUGCACGAUGAAGUUUUUCGGAAUGUAAAGUGCUUUCAGUUGGGAAGAAAAAAAUGACGGUACCAACAGAAGAAGUGACGGCUAAAUACGUG